rnacentral:lncRNA from 12 species
GUGGGAGAUUAGAGUCAGUGGAAGGACACCCCUUGGGGGCCCCUCAUGAGUGAGGCAGGGCAGACCCACAGGAGGGAAGUUUCCCCAGGAAAAACAGUGAUGGUCACACUGCUGGUCAUGGGCUCCCAUGCACAGAGGCUUUGUGCCAGCCCCUCCUCAGCGAGCAGGGCUGUGGCAGACUGGACCGCCAGGUGACAGGUGGACAAGGAGCAGCACUGGCCUCCGACAGCCCUGCAUGGGAGGCCGAGGGCCCCGGUUCCUGCAGGGCUUCCCCGGGACACCUCUGCGUGAGGGAGCUCUGUCUUCUGACGCCUCUGCCCACCUGUCCCUCCCCAGCACCAUGUCCUCCUUCCUGACCAUCUGGCUGGACUACUAUGAGGAGGACUUCCACGAUCCCCCAGAAUUUCCUGCCCUGACAAAGCUGCUGAACUUCACGGGGCAGUACUUGCCAGGCUCAGUGCUCGACUGUCGUGCCGUGUGUUACCUUUGGCGUUUCAGAAAUCUCCAUCAAGCGGAGUUUGUGGGUGGAGACGCGGCUGCCACAGAUUGGCCAGUGAGCUCCAUCAGCUGAGGUCCGCGGAGACCAGUGCCCACCCACGAAGUCCCCUCUCCAGUGUUGGUUUGCAGUAAAUCUGUAUUUAAGCACUUAAGCAUCUGUGUGUGUCUCUUGCUUCUGAGACUCUUCUCUGCAUGUGUGCUUUUCCGGAACUCCAGCCAUGAGGUCCCUGACUCACGGACAAAGCAGAUGCCAAAGUAGGGGAUUCCUCAGUGUCUUCUGAACUGUGUCUGCUCUAACCUGUGGUUUUCAGAAAUCUGAUGAGCUUUCAAGAAAAAAGAAUUGUGGUUGCAGAGCUGACAUGGGUUUCCAGCAGGUUCUGAAAAGCUGAAGUGAGCACAGGAUCCCGAAGCUUCAGCCAGAGGACACACCCCCACACCCCAUGGAGCGAGUCUCGCCCUGCGGUGCUGGGCUCACCCAUCUGCCUGCACCCUCCAGGGCACAGCACGUUGGCCGCACCCUAGUCCCGGGGACCGUGCUUGUGGUCAGGCUCUAGCGACGCUUCUCAAGUGAAUGGAGGAGGCGUGGUGGCAUUAGCGCACAAGUGCCCAGGACCAGAGAUUAUCUGCCAGGGAGGAAAGGCCCCAUCUUUCAACAGUUUGCCCCAAAACGUGUGGGAGGGAGAACAGUCUCCAUGUUCUACGUAGAAAGGAAGUGUCCGGGAGGUGGCAGUUGCGGUGUGGAGAGGAGUGUGCCCAGGACUGCCCACCUGAGGACAGACCCACAGCCACCCGCGUCUGCCCCACUGGCAGGGUGGCGCUCCCGUGGGCCUCCCGCUGGCACCUGUCCCAGCUUCGGUGGGUGUGGGGGGUAACACCAACAUUUCAGGCUCUGCUCCCCACUCAGCUCAAGCCUCUGGUGCUCUCCCUGGGUGUGAUUCUUUUUUAUUUUUAUUUUGGAACAUCAAUGGGAAAAAUGUUAUAUCUUUAAUUUUUGCUAAUAUCUAAUUGGGAUUUAGCCUUCCCAUCAGUUAGGAAACAUGUGUCAGUUCCUUUUUUUUUCCUUUGUAAAUUGA